GGAGGGCCUUUGGUAAAAAGGACCGGGGAGGGUCUAGGCGCACAGAGCAGUUCAUCAGGGACCAGGAGUACAAAGCACAGGGCUGGCCCUGGGGCCGUACUCACCGCGGCCGUUCUGGGUGCGCCGGUACACGCUGCCCACGCUGAGGCGGCCCUGCUGCGAGCCGCUGCGCUCCGCCACCGGCGGGGGCGCGUCCGAGCUGCGCACGGGCAGGUAUCUGACUGAGUGACCCUAUGGCCUUCUACAAAGACCAGGACUCUGAUGACCCCACCUCCCCGGGUACAGGAAGAAUUGGAAGAGCCAGAAGGUCUCGUGGUCAUGUUCCACCAUCAGCUGGAAGAGCAUCACCAUCUCAUGGAAGCCCUGCUGACCACAGGUCCUGACUUGCCUUCUGCUUUGGGUCAGUUCUAUGCAUUCAACACUCAAGGGUUCACCCUUGGCUGUGCUGGCAUGGCACAUGUGGCGUCCAACAUGGAAUGUGUGUAUGGGGGAACUACAAUUGUAAGGUGAAAGGAUGCUCCAGUGCAGAAAGCAGAAAGCAGAAAGUAAGAGCAAACAGAAUGUGGGGAUGGAGAGGAAGAAUAUAAACAAUACAUAUGGCUGAUGACACAGGUUCUAGAAAAAUUCCCUAGACAAAGAAGGAACAGUGGAGCCGAUUUGGGUUCCAGACCAUUAUGUGCAUCACCACAAUGGACCCAGAGAAGCUCCUUGGCCAUUCAUUCAAAAGAUUGAGAGUUGCCCCAUAACAGCAAUGUAGAAGAACAAAAUAAAGACUAUACAAGGGG